AUGAACGCUAGCGACAGGCUUAACACAUGCAAGUCGAGGGGUAACAGGGUAGCAAUACCGCUGACGACCGGCGCACGGGUGAGUAACGCGUAUGCAACCUGCUUAUAACUGGGGAAUAGCUCCCUGAAAGGGGAAUUAACACCGCAUAACACUAUUGAUUCGCAUGGAUUGGUAGUUAAAUGUAGCGAUACAGGUUAUAGAUGGGCAUGCGUGACAUUAGCUAGUUGGUGAGGUAACGGCUCACCAAGGCUACGAUGUCUAGGGGUUCUGAGAGGAAGGUCCCCCACACUGGUACUGAGACACGGACCAGACUCCUACGGGAGGCAGCAGUGAGGAAUAUUGGACAAUGGAUGGAAAUCUGAUCCAGCCAUGCCGCGUGCAAGGAAGACGGCCCUAUGGGUUGUAAACUGCUUUUGUAUGGGAGCAAUAAGGGCUACGCGUAGUCCGAUGAGAGUACCAUACGAAUAAGCACCGGCUAACUCCGUGCCAGCAGCAGC
rnacentral:rRNA from 1 species